rnacentral:rRNA from 1 species
AGGGAUCAUUAUCGAGUUAUUCAACUCCCAAACCCUAUGUGAACUUACCACUUGUUGCUUCGGCGCGCGCUUCGGCGCCGCCGAGGACACUUAAACUCUUUGUUUUUAUAAGCAUUUCUGAGUGGCCGAAAGGCAAAAAUACAAAUGAAUCAAAACUUUCAACAACGGAUCUCUUGGUUCUGGCAUCGAUGAAGAACGCAGCGAAAUGCGAUAAGUAAUGUGAAUUGCAGAAUUCAGUGAAUCAUCGAAUCUUUGAACGCACAUUGCGCCCGCCAGCAUUCUGGCGGGCAUGCCUGUUCGAGCGUCAUUUCAACCCUCGAGCCCGACUCUUUUGAGGACGGCUCGGCGUUGGGGGACGGCAGACUCCCCCCGGCAUCUCGCCGGGGACGCCGCCCCCGAAAUCUAGUGGCGGCCCUCCGAGGCGACCUCUGCGUAGUAACUUGUUCUCGCACCGGAAAGCUCAGAGCGGCCACGCCGUAAAACCCCAACUUUUUUCAGGUUGACCUCGAAUCAGGUAGGACUACCCGCUGAACUUAAGCAUAUC